GAGGGCCCCAAGCCUAGGUCCUAAUCCCAGUUGCUAACUGGCCUCAUGACCAAGGAGCCUCAACAUGUCACAGUUCUUGUGGGCUGUGGGCAGUAGGAGAGAGGUCACUGCCACUGGAGACCUGCGUUGUGGCCCGUUUGGCCAGUGCCUUGCUGUGCCAUGUGGGACAAAUCCUUUCCCCUCCUUAUUGGCCUCUAAUUUCCCAUCUGUGAACAGUUCAUGGCAACUUGGGGUUGCUGGGAGGAGGGUAAGCAAGCCUGGCACAGAGGGUGGCCAGAAAUGAUGUCGACAAUGCCCAUGACCACCUCCUCCCUGGUCACCUUUCCCUGCGUCGUCGUUCUUUGAUGUGAGUAGAGGGCAGCUCUAAUCCCCCACCUGAUAGAGAAGAAAACUAAGCUAUGGAGUAGGGUGGGGUGAGGCAGUGGAAGGAAGGCUGUGGUUUCCUGGUGAGGUGUAAUGCUUAGACCUGGUCUCUAAAAAGAAAAUUAAAGUUAAAAAAAAAAAAAAAAAUGAAUAAAAAGAAACCGCCUAGUCUCUGAGGUCAGAAAAGACCAGCACUCAAAUUUUGGCUGGGCGUUCUUAAACGGAUGCUUUCUUCAUCUGGUGAUAUCUGGUGGAGAGGAUUAGAUAAAAUAAUGCAUUACUGCCGGGCGCGGUGGCUCAAGCCUAUAAUCCCAGCACUUUGGGAGGCCGAGACGGGCGGAUCACGAGGUCAGGAGAUCGAGACCAUCCUGGCUAACACGGUGAAACCCCGUCUCUACUAAGAAAUACAAAAAAAAACUAGCCGGGCGAGGUGGCGGGCCCCUGUAGUCCAGCUACACGGGAGGCUGAGGCAGGAGAAUGGCGUAAACCCGGGAGGCGGAGCUUGCAGUGAGCUGAGAUCUGGCCACUGCACUCCAGCCUGGGCGACAGAGCGAGACUCCGUCUCAAAAAAAA
rnacentral:lncRNA from 1 species